GCCUUCGUAGUGUAACAGUAGCACACUCGGCUCGUAGUCGACAGGUCCAGGUUCGAGUCCCGGGGAGGGCA
rnacentral:tRNA from 1 species